rnacentral:lncRNA from 1 species
GAGGGAGCUGACUGGGGAAGCUGUGAGCCCAUUUACCUUCCACAACAGCUCACACUCCCGAUCCUCCAGGGCCUUCUUGUGGCGAGCUGUGACGGCCUUGACCUCAGACUGGACCACCUUCGCCUUCAUCUCCACCUGUUCUGCCACAGUCUGGGCCUGCUCGAUGCUCAGCUGCAAGAGCAAGCAAAACCUUGAGACAUUGGAAGGGACAUCACCUCCUACCUCACACACAGCAACUUCCAAGAGGCCUGUAGGGCUCGUGCUGGCUGGCACCCGAGGGUGUGUAACUGAGAGUUGCUGGCAAAGGCUGAGUCUCUUUGUCUCCGAAGUGGCACCUCCAGUGAGUAUCAGACUAUUAAGGAAUACUCUUUAACAACAGGGUCACCGGCGUGGCUGCGUUUGUGUGGAAUACUGGGAAUGACGGUCAGCUGUAAAGUAGCUCUGAGCUUGCACGGAUUUCCUGGACUUACUCCCCACACCUGAAGGCCUGAGAGGUCCCUCCCGAGGGCGCAGGGAGAGGGGCGGAGGUCAGUGGUCUCUCCGCCACGUGUGCAUCAUUUUCCAGCCAUCUCUCCCAAGCCAACAAUGUGCACUCUGGGAGCCUCACCUCAGCUAACCUAAGAAAACCCUCAAUCGUGCCCUGCAGUCCGGGGCCUCCAUCUUACGGCACCAGCCCCAGUACAUCGGGAAGCUUUAUCAGGCAUAUUGUUCAUAAAAAAUUAACUCGG